rnacentral:rRNA from 1 species
AGCGAACGUUUGCGGCGGGCUUAACACAUGCAAGUCGAACGAGAAUCCCUUCGGGGAGGAAAGUGGCGCACGGGUGCGUAACACGUGGAUAACCUACCCAUUGGUUGGGGACAACACCGGGAAACUGGUGCUAAUACCCGAUGUGUCGUAGUGGUCGCAAGGCUGCUACGAGAAAGGCCCGCAAGGGUCGCCAGCGGACGGGUCCGCGUCCCAUCAGCUAGUUGGUGAGGUAAUGGCUCACCAAGGCGAAGACGGGUAGCUGGUCUGAGAGGAUGAUCAGCCACACUGGAACUGAGACACGGUCCAGACUCCUACGGGAGGCAGCAGUGGGGAAUAUUGCGCAAUGGGCGAAAGCCUGACGCAGCCACGCCGCGUGAGCGAUGAAGGUCUUCGGAUCGUAAAGCUCUGUGGGGGGAGAAGAAAAACUGUUGGCUAAUAUCCAACAGGUUGACGGUACCUUCUUAGCAAGCACCGGCUAACUCUGUGCCAGCAGCCGCGGUAAU